AAGAAGAAAUUACUGUCUCUGAAGCCAGCCCUGAUCUCUAGGUUCUUAGUUCUGGGUGCUACCAAUGGAAAACAUUUAUCCACGAAUGUGAAGUGCCUUAAAUUAUGGCUUCCUGUGUCUUUGCAAGUUGCUUGUUUUCUGCUUUCUCCCUCACUUCUCCAGUAACCUUUGGAAAGAUGGAAGCCACAACAGCAUAUUGGAGAGAAUGGGAUCACAGAAUAAGACAGACAUGAAAGAGAAGCACAACAUCACAAGGCAGGUC